UGAGAGCUACUUGGGCAAUUCAUAGGGCAUCUUUAAGUCUCGAGGUUGAGCAAAAGUGCAUUUGGCACGUAAAUCGAGGACGGGCACGCAUCUCGAGGAAUCACGAAAAAUAGUCCAAGGUAGCGGCGAGAGAGUUCCCGAGGUGGGUUCUAGCAGUGGGAUGCAUUAGAUUGUGUACGUGGAGGCCACUCAA